rnacentral:pre_miRNA from 14 species
UUUCCGACUGGAUCCAAGUCAUUAUCCUUGCUAAGUAGUAGUGCCGCAGGUAAUGAGAUAGCAAUUUUACCUGCUGCCCACUGCUUAACAAGGUUUUGACUCACCAUCAUCGAAUUCAGG